AGAUAUUUUGUCGGAGUUGGGGCUUUCGGAUAGUUCUGGAUUCGUAAACUUCUGUAUUGCACGUCAAUUUAAAGAUUUAAAUGAAUAUAGGAACAGUUUGGAAAGCAAAGGAAUUGCAUUUGUAGGUUUUGUGGAUGGAUCACAUGAAAUGACCGAAAAAGAAGUUUUAUUAACUAAAUUCUUCAAUGAUAACUUUGAGAUGGAAUCUCAAAACAACCUUUAUAGACCAAUUGAUUAUUGUCGUAAACGCAAUUUUGGCAAACGUGGAAUUUCGGCCUGGAUAUUGCGUUUGAUGAGAUCCCCUGAAA